rnacentral:rRNA from 1 species
GACGAACGCUGGCGGCGUGCUUAACACAUGCAAGUCGAACGAUGACGACCGAGCUUGCUCGGUCUGAUUAGUGGCGAACGGGUGAGUAACACGUGAGCAACCUGCCCUUCACUCUGGGAUAACCUCGGGAAAUCGGGGCUAAUACCGGAUAUGAGCUCCUGUCGCAUGGCGGGUGUUGGAAAGUUUUUCGGUGAAGGAUGGGCUCGCGGCCUAUCAGUUUGUUGGUGAGGUAGUGGCUCACCAAGGCGAUGACGGGUAGCCGGCCUGAGAGGGCGACCGGCCACACUGGGACUGAGACACGGCCCAGACUCCUACGGGAGGCAGCAGUGGGGAAUAUUGCACAAUAGGCGAAAGCCUGAUGCAGCGACGCCGCGUGAGGGAUGACGGCCUUCGGGUUGUAAACCUCUUUCAGCAGGGAAGAAGCGAAAGUGACGGUACCUGCAGAAGAAGCGCCGGCUAACUACGUG